GCCCCAGGCAGGACUCUGAGCGCAGCUGGUCAGGAGACCACCGGGUUGAAGGCCCACGGGGCGAGAGCGGGGUUCUGGGCUCACAGACCUCAACGCUGCCUCGUUAGCUAUCUCCCCUCUCCGUCAUCCUUCCACCCCGGGCCGUGUGAGUUCGGCGCCUUCCAGGCAGGCUCGGAGCUGAGGCGGGAACUCUGCCGUUUUGUUGAGACUGCCUUUACUUUUCUGUGAAGAAACGUGGAGCGUGCCGCAUCGACCGCUACCUUUAUUCUACCACAAGGGAAGUGCCUAGGAGUGGGACUGCUAGAUGAGGUAUACAACAGUGAUUCACCAGUU